UUGGGAGCUCACUGACUUCGGAGUCGUAGGAACUCCGAAGUUAAGCGAGUUGGGGGCUUGAGCAAUCCCAAGAUGGGUGACCUACUGGGAAGUUGCUCGUGAGUUCCCAGA
rfam:Prunus persica cultivar Lovell chromosome G2, whole genome shotgun sequence.